rnacentral:rRNA from 1 species
AGAGUUUGAUCCUGGCUCAGGAUGAACGCUGGCGGCGUGCUUAACACAUGCAAGUCGAACGAACCUUCGGGUUAGUGGCGGACGGGUGAGUAACGCGUGGGAAUCUGCCCUCAGGAGGGGGAUAACGGCUGGAAACGGCCGCUAAUACCCCAUAUGCCGAGAGGUGAAAUGAAUUUCGCCUGAGGAUGAGCCCGCGUCUGAUUAGCUAGUUGGUGAGGUAAGAGCUCACCAAGGCAUCGAUCAGUAGCUGGUCUGAGAGGAUGAUCAGCCACACUGGGACUGAGACACGGCCCAGACUCCUACGGGAGGCAGCAGUGGGGAAUUUUCCGCAAUGGGCGAAAGCCUGACGGAGCAACGCCGCGUGAGGGAUGAAGGCCUCUGGGCUGUAAACCUCUUUUCUCAAGGAAGAAGAUCUGACGGUACUUGAGGAAUAAGCCACGGCUAAUUCCGUGCCAGCAGCCGCGGUAAUACGGGAGUGGCAAGCGUUAUCCGGAAUUAUUGGGCGUAAAGCGUCCGCAGGCGGCCCUUCAAGUCUGCUGUUAAAAAGUGGAGCUUAACUCCAUCAUGGCAGUGGAAACUGUUGGGCUUGAGUGUGGUAGGGGCAGAGGGAAUUCCCGGUGUAGCGGUGAAAUG